rnacentral:tRNA from 1 species
GGACAGCACAUCGCGCUGGUGGCGGUGCUCGGCUGGUGGCUGGGGCGGCUGUUCGGGCUGCGGGGGGCGAUUCUGGUCGCCCUGCUGUUUGCC